UACGGAGGGUGCGAGCGUUGUCCGGAUUUAUUGGGUUUAAAGGGUGCGUAGGCGGCCCGUUAAGUCUGGGGUGAAAGCCCGUUGCUCAACAACGGAACUGCCCUGGAUACUGGCGGGCUUGAGGACAGACGAGGUUGGCGGAAUGGAAGAUGUAGCGGUGAAAUGCAUAGAUAUCUUCCAGAACCCCGAUUGCGAAGGCAGCUGACUAGACUGUAUCUGACGCUGAGGCACGAAAGCGUGGGGAGCGAACAGG
rnacentral:rRNA from 1 species